AUAUAAUUUCUAGGGCUUCCCUGGUAGCUCAAUUGGCAAAGAAUCUGAUUGCAAUGCAGGAGGCCCUAGUUCAAUUCCUGGGUGGGGAAAAUCCGCUGGAGAAGGGAUAGGCUGCUUACUCCAGUAUUCUUUGGCUUCCCUUGUGGUUCAGCUGGUAAAGAAUCUACCCACAAUGUGGGAGACCUGGGUUCAAUCCCCAGAUUGGGAAGAUCCCCUGGAGAAGGGAAAGCAACUCACUCCAGUAUUCUGGCCUAGAGAAUUCCAUGGACUUAUAGAGUGUCAGACACGACGGAGUGACUUUCACUUCACUUUAUCUUUGUUCCUCAGUGUGUAAAGUGGCUGAUUUUAAGAUUUUCAUUUUAUCAAUGGUUUUUAGCAAUUUGAUUUGGUUAUACUGAUUUUAUUUGUAUUCACUUUUAUUCUGCUUGGGAUUUAUUGAGCAUUUUGAAUCUGUAGCUUGAUGAAUAUGAUCAAAUUUAGAAAAGUUUUGGCCUUUCUUUCUUCAACAAAUGUUGUCUAUUCCCUCUAUUUCUUAUCCUUCUGAACUCCAAUUAAAUGUAAGACAGAAAAUAUAUUUUCUUAGAGGCCACCUCUCUAUUCAUUUAUUUAUUUUUCAGUCUUUUUCCUCUCUGUAUUUCAUUUUGUAUGGUUUCUGUUACUAUGUCCUCGAUUUCAUUGUUUUUUUCCCCCCCUUUCUUCUGCAAUGUAUAAUCUGCUGUUAAUCACACCAGUUUAUUUUUAUUUCAGAUGUAGUAUUUUGCAUCUCUAGAUUCCCAUUCAUGUGUUUUUUAUAUCUUCCAGUUUUAUUAUUAUAAGUCAUAUUUUCUUUAUCUUCUUGACCAUAUGGAAUACAGGUGACCCUUGGACAUCAUGUGUUUCAAUUGUGUGGAUCAACUUGUACACAGAUUUGUUUUCCAUAAAUGCAUACUACAGUACUAUCCGAUUUGUGGUUGACAGAAUCCACAGAGGGCUGUCUGAAAAGUUAUGAGAGGAUUUUCAACUAGACUGGUGGAUUGAUGUCCCUAUCUUCUGCAUUGGUCAAGGGUCAGAUGUAUAUUUCUAAAGCUAUUAUAAAUUGUUCCCAAAUCCUUGUUACUUAUGGUCUGUUUCUAUUCUUUUCAUAGUCAUAGUUUUCUGCUUUUUUACAUGGUUGGCAAUUUUUUAUUGGGUGUUGUAUUAGUCUACUUAGACUUCCAUAAUAAAAUAUCAUAGACUGAGAAGCUUAAACAGUAUAAAUUAUUUUCUCACAGUUCUGGAAACUGAAAGUCCUGCUUCAGGAUCCAGCAAGGUCCUUGUGAUGAGAGCUCUCUUCCUAGCUUGCAGACAACCGUCUUCUUUCUGUUUGUUCUUCACAUGGUGUCUUUGUGUAUAGACAGAGAGAGUGCUUUUGUGUCUCUUCCUUUCAAAGGGCACUGAUCCUAUUCUAUCAAGGUCCCACUUUCCUGAGUUCAUUUAGUCGUAAUUAUCUCUAUAAAGACACCAUCACCCAAAUAUACCUUGGGUGUUGGAACUUCAACAAAUGAAUUUUGAGAGGACUCAAUUCAGUGCAUAGCAUUUGUUAAAUAUUGUUCUUUUUAUGUUUUUUGUGACUUUAUUUCUUUGUAGUUCUUUAAAGAGUGUAAAUUUUUAUCUUUCAUAGAUUUAAGUUUUACUUAUAAUCAAUUGAACCCUAUCUAGGUAUGCUUUUAAGGUGUGUUAUAUGCUUUAUUUCUGGACCAAUCUCUGUCACCACUAAAGUGACAUUAUUCUGAGGAUUCUAUCUGGUUCAUGUGUAUUUUAAGGAAUUUUCCCUCUGACUGUGGGGACAUAAUUUAUUUCCAGUCCUCUGUGAGCUCUAAAAACUGUUCUGCCUAAUCCUUUGUAGUGGUACUUUUUCCAGCCUCUCAUAGUUUCCCCUCAUACACGCAUAAGUAAGUACUUAGCCAAAGACUUAAGGGAAUCCCCUCUACACAGCUCCAGAUCUCUGUAUGUAACACCAUCUACAAAUUCUAGUCUCUGUGAUCUCUUCAGUUUCAAUUCUGGGCUCUAUUUGGAUCUACAUUCUUUAAUCCAUGGCCUGGGAACCACCUCCAAGUAGUAAGCUGCAACAACCUUAGAUCUCACUUUGAAUGUUUCCCUUCUUUCAUUUAUCACACUCAUAUUACUGGUUGUUCAACACAUGAAAAUUAUUGUAUUGUAUGUAUUUUUGCUGGUUUUCUAGUUGUUUAAUUUGGGAUGACAAAUUAAGUUAUUUUCACCUUGGGCAGAAACAAAUGUCCUGCAAAGUGUUUUUAAACUGUAGAUUUCUGGACUAUUAUCCAUAUUAUACUUUGAAAAUGAUGCCUUAUAAUUGGUACAACCUCAUAACCAGGGUUUCUGUUUCUGUAUUUCUUCCCUCCAACCUGUAUCUAUGUGUCUGUAAAAAUGGUUUUUCUAAAGUGGAAGUAAGGCCAUGCUUCUCCUCUGCUUAAAACCUUUCAAAGAUUCCAUCAUUUUGCAAUACAUACAAAUAUUGAAGCAUUACAUUAUACACAUGAAACUAACAUAGUGAUAUAUCAAUGAUAAUUAAUUAACUAGAUAAUUAUUUUAAAAUAGUUUUUUAUUUUUUUAAGAAUACUGUCAAUAGUGACUGCUAUAAUCUAAGAACCAUGGAUCUCCCUACUUCCUGGACCACAUAAGCCUGAGAUUCUUAUAUGAUCUCAUAUGAUUGAAGGAGUUUGGGCAAAGCCUUAAAAGUGGUUUAAUACUGAACUUGCCACCAACAGCUAUUGUGGUUGAUCUGGAGUUAACAUUAUUACUUUUUUUGCUAAUAUCAUAGAAUAAUUUAUACCUGGUAAACCUACCUGAAUAAUUUUUAAAGGCAAAUAAAUUUUUUACCUUCUUCUCAAUAGCAGAUUCUUGAUAAAUAAUAAUUAAAUGAACAAAUGGCAUGUUCUAUUUUAAUAAUAAUAGAAGUGAUGAUGACACUGUGUGCUGUGUGCUAAGUUGCUUCAGUCAUGUCUGACUCUGUAGGAGCCUGGCAAGCUACAGUCCAGAGGGUCACAAAAAGUUGGAUAUGACUGAAAUGAAGCAAACAAUGACACUAAUAACUAAAAUUUACUGAGUGCUUACUCUACACUAAGCUCUAGACUCUGAGUUUAUGAAUGAACCUCAUUUGGUUCUCACAACAAGCCUUGUUGGAGGAGUGAUUUUUAUCCCCAUUUUAAAGAAAGGAAACUGAGGCUUAGAAACACUGUCUUGCCAAAGUCACACAACUAGUCAGAGGAUUAACCUAAAUAAUUUGUCUCUAGAAUCAACAGUUGUAAUCAGUGGUUUAGAGGAUCUUUAUUUUAGCCCAUGAACAAAUCAGUUUACUAAUCAUAUUGGCUACAUCACUUGGAACACAGUAUUUGAUUAUUUAAUAUAAUUGAUAUUUUAAAAAUCAGAUCUCUAUUCUUUAUAAUUAUUAUAGUGAUCAGCCUGCUUGGUAGUUUUCCAGACAUGACCCCUUUCAUCUCAAAUGUUGAAAUGCAUAGUCUCAGAUAGAAAGAAUUGGGGCAUAACUUUUAGGCCCAGUCUUUAGAAAGAUCAAUUUCUCUAAGACUUCUUUUUCCCACUUAAUAAGGCUUGUAUCUCUUUGGAUUCUUUUUUCAGAGGCAACAUAAAAGGAGACAAUUGUGGGUUUUGACCAGUAUUUUUUUGAUUAAUGCUAUUGUCUGUAGUGAGGACAAUAGCUGAAAACAGCUGUGCUUAUUCAUGUUUUCAUUGUUUCUUUCUAACCCUCUUGGGAACUACAUUUCUCAAGUAUGAAUUUUUCUGUGAUAGAAAGAGAUAUGGCAAAAGCUAUAGAUAUCAUGGAAUGAAAGGAUAGAUAUUUUCUACUGUGAUGCAGAAUAGGUCACUUCUGACAGAGUUGAAAAGAAUUCCUUUGCUCUGCUUAUUUCAUAGCUGAUAAUACUACUAUAUGUCCAUAAUAAGAGAAUGUUUACUAUGGGUGAUCUUGAUUAUGGCCUCUCCUAAAAAAGUUGGGUGAGAUGGUUGGAUGGCAUCACUGACUCAAUGGACAUGAGUUUGAGCAAACCCCGGGAUGGUGAAGGAUGGGAAAACCUCACGUGCUGCAGUCCCUGGGGUUGCAAAGAGUCAAAACUGACUGAGCAACUGAACAACAACAAAAAAGUUGGGAGGUGUAAGGAUGCUUCCGUUUUCACUUAAUAUCUUCCUGCUUUCCUCCCUCCCUUCCUUCCUAGGGGAUGUGUGAAUGUAUGUGGGGAUGUGGGGAUGUGUCUGUGUCAGUUUCAACUUGUGGACAUCUCUUAACAUAGUCCUUUCAAUCAACUUCCCUAUUGUAUCUGGAAUUCAUCCACCUCUUUCCAUGUCUUCUGUCUCUACUAGUUUCAGACUGAUAGAGAACCUCUUCAUUGGUGCUUCCACUUCUGC
ensembl:lncRNA